AAUUACUGGGCUUAAAGAGUUCGUAGGUUGUUGAAAUAGUUGGUGGUGAAAUCCCAGAGCUUAACUCUGGAACUGCCAUCAAAACUUUUCAGCUAGAGUAUGAUAGAGGAAAGCAGAAUUUCUAGUGUAGAGGUGAAAUUCGUAGAUAUUAGAAAGAAUACCAAAUGCGAAGGCAGCUUUCUGGAUCAUUACUGACACUGAGGAACGAAAGCAUGGGUAGCGAAGAGGAUUAGAUACCCUCGUAGUCCAUGCUGUAAACGAUGUGUGUUAGACGUUGGAAAUUUAUUUUCAGUGUCGCAGGGAAACCGAUAAACACACCGCCUGGGGAGUACGACCGCAAGGUUAAAACUCAAAUGAAUUGACGGGGACCCGCACAAGUAGUGGAGCAUGUGGUUUAAUUCGAAGAUACGCGCAGAACCUUACCAACACUUGACAUGUUCGUCGCGACUCUAAGAGAUUAGAGUUUUCGGUUCGGCCGGACGAAACACAGGUGCUGCAUGGCUGUCGUCAGCUCGUGUCGUGAGAUGUUGGGUUAAGUCCCGCAACGAGCGCAACCCUCACUUUUAGUUGCCAUCAUUAAGUUGGGCACUCUGAAAGAACUGCCAGUGAUAAGCUGGAGGAAGGUGGGGAUGACGUCAAGUCCUCAUGGCCCUUACGUGUUGGGCUACACACGUGCUACAAUGGUAUCUACAACAGGAAGCAAGACUGCGAAGUUUAGCAAAUCCUUAAAAGAUACCUCAGUUCGGAUUGCACUCUGCAACUCGAGUGCAUGAAGCUGGAAUUACUAGUAAUCGUGGAUCAGCGUGCCACGGUGAAUGCGUUCCCCGGGUCUUGUACACACCGCCCGUCACAC
rnacentral:rRNA from 1 species